AGAAUCAACGCUGGCGGCGUGCCUAACACAUGCAAGUCGAGCGCGAAUAGGGGGGCAACCCCCUUAGUAGAGCGGCGAACGGGUGAGUAACGCGUGGGUGAUCUGCCUCCGAGUGGGGGAAUAACACCGGGAAACUGGUGCUAAUACCGCAUGACAUCUUCGGGUCACACUGAAAAUCAAAGCCGGGGACCGUAAGGCCUGGCGCUUGGAGAGGAGCCCGCGUCCGAUUAGCUAGUUGGUGGGGUAAUGGCCUACCAAGGCUUCGAUCGGUAGCCGGCCUUAGAGGGCGGACGGCCACACUGGGACUGAGACACGGCCCAGACCUCCGUACGGGAGGCAGCAGUGGGGAAUUUUCGCAAGUGGGGGAACCUGACGGAAGCGAACGCCGGCGGUAGGACGGAGUAGAGGUCUUCGGGAUUAGUAAACCGUCCGUGUCCGGACCGGACGAA
rnacentral:rRNA from 1 species